CAGAGGCGCUCUUGGGAAGAGGGCGAGGUUCUCCGGACAGUGGGCGGGACUAGAGAGGCCACCUGCAGACACACCCUGGCUUCUCCUGGUCCCUCUUCCCUCCCUUCCCCCUCGGGGCACAGAGACGAUCCACACGUGGGGUCUCCGAGCUCUAGGGUCCUUUUACGUAGCAUAGUCAGGCCUGGGAUCAGAACGUCAUGUUCUUGCUAAAAGUCUCGGUGUGUCCUAGUUGUUUUAGAGACUUGGAGAGGAAUGGGGGUAAAAAAAAACCCCAAAACCCGAGAACUAUCGCGCCAAGAGAAGUCAGGAUUCUAGGAAGCCUAGGACGCCAAACAAAUGGAGACCAAAAAACAAGACGGGAGGACUGGAGACGAAGCAGGCAAAAAGUCAUCAGCCACGGCUGUUGUACGGUGUGUUUCACCUCUCCUACCAAGCCUUCAUCCCUGUCUAUGAGGACGAAGAAGUUACCGGGGAAAUUGGUGAUGGGCCUGGCUGUCCUGGAGAAUGCUCUUGAUUAAGUUGGUGAUAGAAAACGGGAGAACUGAAGACAAGCACUUUAUAAACUCCCUUGUCUGCUUGAAUUUGUAGUGCUGAAAUUCAUGGGUUAAGGCUAUGCUCCUGCAUCAACUACAGAUGGAUCUGGACCCUGGUGUAUUCUCCCUGUGGACCAACAGCUGUCAGAAGACAUUGACACAGGAAGUCAAGGGGCAGGAUCUCCAUCCUCCCAGUUUCUUUGGUUUUACAUAGAACUAAGUGAUCCCGGAGAUCGCUCUCAAGACCAGGAAUCCAUCAGCUUCAGGGGCAAGCAGGGAGGCAGAAAGCUGCUGGGUGCAGAUGGGGAGCAAUGCAGGAUUUGAGCGUGGACUGCACAGAGUUCCUCCCAAGAGAAGAGGAAUGAGGCAGGUUCUGAAGAGAAAGCACUACAGUCAGAGUCUCUGUUGGGACCUAAGAAGUCCAGGAAGCGCAAAUAGGCAACCAGAGCUGAUCUUCUGCCUGUAAUCUUCUACCAUCACUAAGAAUCAUGGGGAGGCAGAAGUGAUCCCUGAGAUCUCUCUCAAGACCAGGAAUCCAUCAGACUCCAGGGGCAAGCAGGGAGGCAGAAUGCUGCUGGGUGCAGAUGGGGAGCAAUGCAGGAUUUGAGGGUGGACUGCACAGAGUUCCUCCCAAGAGAAGAGGAAUGAGGCAGGUGGGUGUCUCAAGGCUUGCUUUCCUUUCUCUUCUUGCUUGCUUUGUUUUUAUAUUUCUUUUUAUCCAUUCAAUUAUUUAUUUAGUGGGAGCACAGGUCCAUCCUUGUUAGAAAUGGUAUAAAA
rnacentral:sRNA from 1 species